rnacentral:piRNA from 1 species
UGGAGCUUUGUCAGGGCCAGAGGUGUCAAU